rnacentral:lncRNA from 1 species
AAGCUCAAUUUUACCAAUUUCUUUUAGGUGCAAAACAGCCCACAGACCUCUGCAUAAACCAUUUUCCCUUUGUCAGCAUAUCAGAAGCUGGAGGAGUGUGAACACAGACAGGUGGUCCUCGCCUUGGAAGAGCUUCUCACAUGUGCUGACAGYGAGGCUGUAGAGCAAGUUUUUCUUGAUUUCAUGGUACAGAUUUCAAGGCUGCUUCCUGCAGGGCUGUCCAGUGUGAAUGUGAUCCCCCUAUUCACCUGUAGAGCUGUUCUGAAGUCUUCAUGAGAAGUGAGAGCCAAGCAGUGCCUAGAAGUGGUUUUAAAAGAUGCAGAUCAGCCACUGCCCCCGCCCUUUCCUCUUCAAGAUCUAUGUUCUGUUUACUGGAAAAUAGUUGGCGGUCAGUCACAGGAUGCACCACACUGCAUUCCUCUUCUGACAUGUGGAACUUGUUUGGUACCAUAAUGCAGCAGCUGGAGACACUUUUCUUAGAGCAGAGCUCAUGA